rnacentral:misc_RNA from 1 species
AUCAUGACCAAGAAGCAUUUGGGGAG